AUUGAACGCUGGCGGCAUGCCUAACACAUGCAAGUCGAACGGCAGCACGGGAGCUUGCACCUGGUGGCGAGUGGCGAACGGGUGAGUAAUACAUCGGCACAUGUCCCGUAGUGGGGGAUAGCCCGGCGAAAGCCGGAUUAAUACUGCAUACGCACAACGGCUGAAAGCGGGGGCCCUUCGGGCCUCGCGCUUUAGGGUUGGCCGAUGGCUGAUUAGCUAGUUGGUGGGGUAAAGGCCUACCAAGGCGACGAUCAGUAGCUGGUCUGAGAGGAUGAUCAGCCACACUGGAACUGAGACACGGCCCAGACUCCUACGGGAGGCAGCAGUGGGGAAUAUUGGACAAUGGGCGAAAGCCUGAUCCAGCAAUGCCGCGUGUGUGAAGAAGGCCUUCGGGUUGUAAAGCACUUUUGUCCGGAAAGAAAACCUGGGCCCUAAUACGGUCGUGUGAUGACGGUACCGGAAGAAUAAGCACCGGCUAACUACGUG
rnacentral:rRNA from 1 species